ensembl:lncRNA
GCACUUCUUUGGCUGCCAUGCUGGCUAGCUCCGACAUGCUAAACAUGCUAGCUUCAUGUCACGGUGCCAAACACAACCGUGAAACGCACUCGACGCCCGCGGCAUAAAUAAAAAGGUGAGAACACAUACGUUAUCUUUGUUUAACAAAAGGCACAAGACAUACAUACAUGGCUCAUUAGAAUACUAAAUCUACUUUGAGACAUCGGUACCCGAAGCCAAGGCAGCUCCAAGCGGUUUUACUGCAGCGCUAAGACUGCUUACUAUUCAGGAAGAACAGGCAGCCCUGAACAUCCCUGCUAGUUAUUGUGCCCUCGUGCGACACAACAUAUUGCACUGUAUGUAAAAAAAACAAAAUGAACAAACACGGCAAAGGGGGCCUGUUUUAUCACCUGUACUUUAUUACAGUUUGCCAUCUGCACUCAGGUAUGUUAAUAGCUAGCUGCGACUAUUUACACAUAUGAAAAAGCACAUCCAUCUGCCAUCUUCUGCCAAUCGCACAUGAAUCAGUCCUGUUUCCCCAGCGAACAACUGGUGUUUAUUCACAAGAUGACAGCCAGCACCACAAGCCUAGUGUCACCUGCACCGUGCUUCCUGCCUACUGACAGGCUUAAACCUCACACACACGCACACGUGCACGUACAAACACGCACACAGACAUACAUGACACACACAGACACUGUCACCAGCCAUGUCGCCUCCUCAUAUCAUCACCUCACCGCUUGCCUUUCAUAGCCUCGCCGAUCACACAUGAACAAAACACACGCACACACAACCGGGCGCGCGCACACACACAUACACAUACACGGCUAUAUUUGUUUCAAGGUUGCAAUAUACAAUGUGUUUGUGAGUUCAUAUGACUUAGUGCAUAGUUUUAAGUAGAUUCAUGUCUAAUUGGCUUGGAUAUAUCCGUUUUAAUCAGCCAAAAAGGGAUUAUGAGGACUCAUGAAUUAUAGUCAUUAAGGUUAAUACCCAAAGUCAGGAAGUGGUUUAACAUUCUACCAGAUGACAAAGGCUACAUUCCCAAAGCCCUGGCAACAAUUUCCAUCGUGGUGAAAUACUGUAUGCACAACACUUGUACGGUAUAACAGCAACAGCCUCGCAGCGAGGAAAAAAAUAAGAUGCUUUUAACGCCGACAAUAAUCAAAUAAUAUAUGGUUAUGCAAAAUGUGUUAUGCCCCACAUGAAACAAUGGCUUCCCUGCUCGCGCACACUCUGGUAAAUAUUGGGUGAAUAAUAUCGCGCUAUAUAAACAAGAUAUCAGAGUUGAAACGCCCAAAAUAUAAAUCUUGAUUAUGCACCUGGAGACGAGGCUGCAUUGAAGCGUAAUAUCGGGACCUAAGUGUGGGGUAAAUCACCUGCCGGGCAGGAGCGCACGGCACAGUUGGCCCACAAUAGCAACAAUCCCGCUAAUCUGCGGUUUAUUUAUGCGAGCCAAACAACAGAUAGUGGUGCAUAAAACGGACAGGCGCUAAACGCUGAACAAACGGCGCGAGGCAGAGAGGAAUAAGAAACCUGUACUGGGGUUUACAUAAAAGCAGCCAGAGCUGUAACGUAGGUAAUGGUGCCUAAACUGCUUCUUUUUUUUUUGUGUAUUGGGGGGUUGGGGGGGAAGGAGAUACAAGUGAUGUCACUAGCUUCUGACUUCCUUCCCAUUGGUGCAAGCCCUGUCUUAUCCCGUCCUCGGGAACAAUCUGAUAAAGAUCUAAAUGCGUGUGGCUCGCGUACUGUCCCUAUAUUGGCACGGUCAUACACAUCACAUUGUUUAGAACCGGGUCAGGGUUGGAUGAUUUAGGGUCGAUCUAAUGUUGGGGUUGCGUGUGAACCACACUGCUCUGUGCCGAGUCAAUGACGGCGUGCGUCGGGAACAGGUGUCAGGGACAGGAUAAGUAUGGGCUCCGCGGUAUGCCGAGGUGAGAGACCAUUACGUAUUAAUCCCCAACUGACACUAAUACGUGAUGUAUGAUUGAACCCUUGGCAUACGGGACACUGUACAUUACAAUCUGGGCCAUAUGGCGAGACAUUAGCCGCGCGCCCUGUGGCGGGAUAAUCUCUGCAUCCUGCCAGUGUGCCUUCUUCCUCCCAGAUUUCUCUGCUCUAUAAUUGCAUGACAGCAUUAAGGUAUCGGGAGCGGUUAAGAGCCACCGCUGACGUGGAGCGCACACAGCCACGCAAACAGGCUGCCAUCCUGCUCAGCAGACAGGCAGACAGGCAGACAGACAGACAGAUAGACAGAUAGAUAGACAAAUAGACAGACAGACAGGCAGACAGGCAGACAGGCAGACAGGCAGGCAGACAGGCACAGAGACAGACAGAUAGACAGACAGACAGGCAGACAGACAGGCAGACAGAUAAACAGGCAGACAAGCAGACAGACAGGCAGACAGACAGAUAGAAAGGCAGGAAGUAAGACAGAUAUACAGAUAGACACACAGACAGACACAAGCAGGCAGGAAGGCAAGCAGGCAGGCAGACAGACAGCUAGAUCAGCAGACAGACGAAAAGAGACCCAGACUUAACAACUUUUAAGUUGUUCCACGAUACCCCACUACUGUCACUGGAAAAACACAUCACUAUCACACACACACACACACACACACACACACACACACACACACACACACACACACACACACACACACACACACACACACACACACACACACACACA